CCUAUCACCACGGGACAAGGUGCGGGCUUCGGUCCGAGAAUUGGGAAGCCGGCGAAAAUCCGGCACUGCCCCCGCAACGGUAAGAUCGUAAUGCGGCGCAACAACGGCCACUGGGCAGGAGGAGCUCGGGAAGGCGUUGCGCCGUGCGCCCUGACGGGCUGCGAUCAAGUCCGGAAACCAGCCUUGGUCAAGUUGUUCAA
rnacentral:ncRNA from 2 species